CGCGCACUGGGCCCGGGACCUCGAGGGAGCGGAGGCCGAGAGCAGAGAGCCAGACACGAGCUGCUGUCUUCGCUUGUCAGUGCGAUCAGUGAACACUGCUGAGCCCCCGCAGAGUCACAUGGCCACAAGCAGGACAGCAAGACCCGCCCUCAGGAGCCACAUCCAGAUGUGAGGACAGACAGUGAGCAAGAUAAGUAAGCAAGAAUGAAUCUCCAGCGCCGUGGUCUGUUUCAUCACUCCUGUGUCCUCAGCUCUCAGGACUGCCUGGCCCACAGGAGGUGGACGAUAAGCAUCUGUGGAAUGCGUGGACGGAUGUGCUGACCAAUUGAGUCAGGUCUCUGCUACCUGGGCGUGUGAACACCGGGCGUGCAAGCCGUGGACCAGCAUACCGCACAGCCAUGCACAGCAGUGCGGGUCCUGCACUGCCCACGGCUAUCAGCUGUGGAGGUCUCUCCACCGGCUGGGGAGCCCACCAGCAGUCC